CCUACGGGAUGCUGCAGUGGGGAAUAUUGGGCAAUGGGGGCAACCCUGAUCCAGCAACGCCGCGUGAAGGAAGAAGGAUUUCGGUUUGUAAACUUCUUUUCUGAGGGAAGAAAAUAACGGUACCUGACUAAGAAGCACCGGCUAACUACGUGCCAGCAGCCGCGGUAAUACGGAGGGGGCAAGCGUUAUCCGGAUUUACUGGGUGUAAAGGGGGCGUAGGCGGGGAAGCAAGUCUGAUGUGAAAUCUCAGGGCUCAACCAUGGGACUGCAUUGGAAACUGUUUUUCUUGAGUACAGGAGAGGUAAGCGGAAUUCCUAGUGUAGCGGUGAAAUGCGUAGAUAUUAGGAGGAACACCAGUGGCGAAGGCGGCUUGCUGGACCGUAACUGACGCUGAGGCGCGAAAGCGUGGGGAGCAAACAGGAUUAGAUACCCUAGUAGUC
rnacentral:rRNA from 1 species